GGGCGAAUGGGUUAGUGGUAUAAUACUCCCUUAGCAUGAUUUGGCUGUUCGACAGAUGGUCUGGGAGUGGUCCAGGGUUCGUUCGAUUCCCUGUUCGUCCA